rnacentral:rRNA from 1 species
UGAAUACGAGACGCUAAGGCGUCGAAGUAGUGUAUGUCAUACUUCCAAGAAAAGCUUGCACUGUCAUAGAUAAAAAACGCCUGUACCAUAACCGACACAGGUGGGUAGGUAGAGUAUACUAAGGGGCGCGAGAUAACUCUCUCUAAGGAACUCGGCAAAAUAACUCCGUAACUUCGGGAGAAGGAGUGCCUUAUUCGUAAGGUUGCAAUAACAAGAUCCAAGCAACUGUUUAUCAAAAACACAGGUCUCCGCUAAGUCGUAAGACGAUGUAUGGGGGCUGACGCCUGCCCAGUGCCAGAAGGUUAAAGAAGUUGGUUAGCAAUUGCGAAGCUGAUAACUGAAGCCCUGGUGAACGGCGGCCGUAACGAUAACGGUCCUAAGGUAGCGAAAUUCCUUGUCGGGUAAGUUCCGACCCGCACGAAAGGCGUAAUGAUUUGGAUACUGUCUCGGAGAGGGGCUCGGUGAAAUAGACUUGUCUGUGAAGAUGCGGACUACCUGCACCAGGACAGAAAGACCCUAUGAAGCUUUACUGUAACUUGAAAUUGAAAUUGGACUUUAUUCGCGCAGUAUAGGUGGGAGGCGUUGAUUAUAAUCUUGUGGGAUUAUUGGAGCCAUCAGUGAGAUACCACUCUUGUAAUGUUAGAUUUCUAACUUUGAAUCAUUAUCUGGUCAAAGAACAGUUUCAGGCGGGCAGUUUGACUGGGGCGGUCGCCUCCUAAACGGUAACGGAGGCGUACAAAGGUUUCCUCUGAACGGUUAGAAAUCGUAUCUAGAGUGUAAAGGCAUAAGGAAGCUUGACUGUGAGACCUACAAGUCGAGCAGGGACGAAAGUCGGUCUUAGUGAUCUGACGGUACUGAGUGGAAAGGCCGUCACUCAACGGAUAAAAGUUACUCUAAGGAUAACAGGCUGAUCUCCCCCAAGAGUUCACAUCGACGGGGAGGUUUGGCACCUCGAUGUCGGCUCAUCGCAUCCUGGGGCGGUAGUACGUCCCAAGGGUUGGGCUGUUCGCCCAUGAAAGCGGUACGCGAGCUGGGUUCAGAACGUCGUGAGACAGUUCGGUCCAUAUCCGGUGUAGGCGUUAGAAUAUUGAGAGGAGCCUUCUUUAGUACGAGAGGACCGAGAAGGACAUACCUCUGGUGUACCAGUUAUCGUGCCAACGGUAAACGCUGGGUAGCUAUGUAUGGAGUGGAUAACCGCUGAAAGCAUCUAAGUGGGAAGCCCACCUCAAGAUAAG